rnacentral:rRNA from 1 species
AACGAACGCUGGCGGCAGGCCUAACACAUGCAAGUCGAACGCCCCGCAAGGGGAGGGGCGCACGGGUGAGUAACGCGUGGGAAUAUGCCCUUCGGUUCGGAAUAACACCGGGAAACUUGUGGUACUAACGGAUAAGAUCUACGGAUGAAAGAUUUAACGCCGAGGGAGUAGCCCGCGUAGGAUUAGCUAGUUGGGGAGGUAAUGGCUCACCAAGGCGACGAUCCUUAGCUGGUCUGAGAGGAUGAUCAGCCACACUGGGACUGAGACACGGCCCAGACUCCUACGGGAGUCAGCAGUGGGGAAUAUUGGACAAUGGGCUAAAGCCUGAUCCAGCCAUGCCGCGUGAGUGAUGAAGGCCUUAGGGUUGUAAAGCUCUUUCGCCAGGGAAGAUAAUGACGGUACCUGGAAAAGAAGCCUCGGCUAACUCCGUGCCAGCCGCCGCCGUAA